UUCUCCAAGUAGCUGAAGAAUAUAAGCAUCAAGAUAAUCUUGGUAUGGUGAUAUAACUACAGUAGUAAAAGGUACUAAUAUAGUAAUUACUAGAAAUGAUGGGGAAAACGGGCAGAAUAGCUGGGUAAAUCCUUUCUUUUGGACGAUGCGUGGAAUUUCUUCUUGAGAAAUUAGAAUACUUGUUCUUUACACCACUUCAGACUUCUUUAAGGCUUGCUUUUUUCAUUUGAAAUAGUCUUUUUAAAGAAUCACAGAGGGGAAAAAAUAGCAAAUGAUGUCAAAGUCAAGUGAAAUGCACAAUCCUUUGUGUGUCUACCAGUAUAUUCUAAUUACUUGAUCUUCAAAAAUAAAAAAUAAAAAAUAAAUGAUGUUGUAAUAUGAACAACUGGAAGAGAGAAUCAUCAGAAGAAACAUAAAGGCAAAAGAAACAUGGGCUGCAUUAAAAAAGCAUCUAUGUUUGAUAAAGAAGCUUACAAAAGAAAACAACUUCUUCCGGGAAUGUAAAGGUUUUAGCUCUGGAGCAGAAAGUUGGAUAUAGUUGCGGUAGGUGAAAACACAGAAAUGCAAAAGGAGAGUUCUCCUAGAGCUCAUGUAGCGGUUAUGGUGGGGUGAACGAACCCUGCUUUGCUUUUGGCUCAAAGCUUGCUUUCGCAGGCAUUUCUGGGGGUGGUGCAGUCACCAACCCUGGGGGUGUUCAAGAAACAUUGAGCUUUUGUACCUAGGGGUGUGGAGUCAUGGGACAUAUUGGUGAUAGGUGGAUGGUUGGAGCCCUUGGCGGUCAUUUCCAGCCUUGCUGAUUCCCUGAGUCCUGUUUCUUAGCUCCAGAAUUCCACUGUCUCCUUCCCAAGGGUCAACAGGUAUUUGUCGACGGGGUGUAACGCCUCUCAUGCACGAAGAAGACAUUUGGGAAUUGGGAUGGAUUUUAUUGACAUGAUUGGUGACAGGGUGACAAUGGUGACAGACCCCUCAUGCUUGUGCAGACCCAAUGGUGUCCCGAUGAAGGGCCGCAGUGUGUUGUGGGGUCAGAAAAGAGCGGGCUUAGGUGGACGGAUGCCAAGGGCAGUCGCCAGCUCUCCAGGCAGGACCCAGCGAAGGAUGUCCUUCUGCAGCACAAACAGGGUGAAGAAGACAAGCUGCAGCAGGCCCAAGAACAGCAGAAACGCCCUGCGGAACAGAAGAAGGUCCAGUCAGAUUCCGGGGGCACGUUUGUCACAGCACUUUCCAUCCAGCCCUGGCAAAUGGCCCGUGGACAUGUGCCAUACAGGGAGCAAGGGAAUCUGUCGUAGGUCUGCGCAGGGCUGCCAAGAUCGCCACCCCACCUGCUCUCCCACCCAGGACCCUAAGCAAUAGUGAAGCAUUUUAUCUCCAAACAGUCAAAAGCUGCCUGAUGGUCUCUGGACCCCAGGGCGACUCACCGCAGCCAGGAAGUUACAAGUGGGUGCUUCUGUGCUGCCGCCUGCUCAUCCUAGAGGACAAAGCAAAGCAGGGCCACGCGUUGGGGUGAGCGCAGGUUUGGGCACUCGGAAGCCCUCCUUCGUCCCCACAACCAGAGGGAGGCCCAUAUCCCCUGCGGUGGCCCGGAGGUGAGCCUUCCCUCCCCAAGGCCCCGGUGGGGCUUUCUCUCUUACCAAUCGCACAGCCACUGUCUCCUGCAGCAGGGAACUCAUGUGCGCUUCCCUGCGUGUCAUCUUCCUCCUGCUACAGACAGGGGAGUUUGGUGUGUGAGAAGAGGCCUCGGCCGGCACCAGGACCUCACCCCCUCCCCACGCCCCCCAUCCCAAUGUGGCCACGGGGACCCGAGGCAGCUGCCCGGCCUCUGCUGGAGCUGGGGCGGGCACCUCUGGGUGCCAGACGUGCACAGGCCCAGCCUUCCCGAGCUCCAGCCGACGGCCCAGAUGGCUGGGGGCUGCUGGGAUCCCAGCUCCCCCCUGCCUCAGGUCUGGGCUGUGCUGCUACUUACGGGGCAGUGCGCUUUUGGAUCAUCUGUAGUGUAUUCUGGAGGUUGCUCAUCUCCAGCUCCAGCUCCUCCUUCAGUGCCUGGAGAAGGAAAGGGUCCGGUCAAGAGCCUGUCCCGUGUCUGCUGGCAGGGGGCUUUCCCCGAUCAAUGCGCUGCUCUCCAUUCUCUCCCUCCCACCGUGCGUACCUCACGGAUUUUGGCCUGCUCUUGGAGAGCAGCUGCCAGCUCCGCAGACCUCUUCUUACACUGCAAGGCAAUUGGGACCAGUUGCAUGGAUGUAGGGUGGGAAAUGGCAGCCCAUUGCCAGGGCACAGCAAGGCCAGCGUGGAGCAGGACAGCUAGCCUUGCGGCGCCCUGGCUGCGUGGCCCAGCAGCUCUGCCCUGCGGGGUUUCUGCAGGUGGCUCACACACCU
rnacentral:lncRNA from 1 species